ensembl:lncRNA
UUCCCGCAGCCCACCGUGUCCAGCUACAGACCACCCUCCUCACGCAUCAACACAAGGUCAAUGGUAGCCUAAAGCGGCAUCACAACGGUUAUGUUGUUCCCGUGCCUUCAUCUCGUCACGUGCGCGUUUUAUCAUCUCCCGUCACCACAAGAAGCGAACGUACAGUAAGAUAUUCUGAGAGGGAGGAAUACCGUGACUUUUAUUACAGCGUAUUGUUUUCUUUUUUUAAUUUUUUUUAACGUUUAUUUAUUUUUGAGACAGAGAGAGACAGAGCAUGAACAGGGGAGGGUCAGAGAGAGGGAGACACAGAAUCUGAAACAGGCUCCAGGCUCUGAGCAGUUAGCACAGAGCCCGACGCGGGGCUCGAACUCACGGACCGCGAGAUCAUGACCUGAGCCGAAGUCGGCCGCUUAACCGACUGAGCCACCCAGACGCCCCUAUUACAGCGUAUUGUUAUAAUUGCUCUAUUUUACUAUUGUUGUUAAUCUCUUACUGUGCUUCAUUUACAGGUCACAUAGGUAUGUCUGUCUAGGAAACAACGCGGUGUAUGUAGCGGUCGGCACUCUCCGUGGUUUCAGGUGGCAUUGGGGGUCUUGCAGCGCGGGCCCCACUCAUAAGCGAGGGGCUACUGUAGCAACGUGAGGAAUCACAAGGAAGCACCAAGUGGAGUCACAGGGCCUGGAUUUGAGUCUCAGCUCCAUUGCCGACUGGCUGUGUGAUCCCAGAGAAAGAAUCUCAAUUAUCUGGGCUACUCUGAGCUACGUGAACAUUGCUGAGAACAGUCAAGAGCCCCAAGAAACAGUUUGCCCCCCUGCUCCAGCCCACAGUCAGGGAUUCACAUGUUGUCAAAAUCUUCCUGGGUUCAAGGUGAAGUUUCGAUCAGGGAGAGCUGAUGCUCGGAUUUGGGACCAUUGGUCUUAGUAAACACUGUAGAUGGCACCAUGCAAACCCAUAGAAAAUGCUCGUUCUCCAAACUCUGCCCUUCCUCUGCUGUAGAGAGAGUUGUCAUGUUUACCCGGCAUCUGUGUAUCACCUCAACACCAGGGCCACAGAUCUCCCCCGGGAUGCAUUCUUCAAAGGUGAGAGGUCAAUGAGGAUGUGUCGGCUAGUCAAGAUUGGGGAACCGGAGGGAUGCUCAGUGGAAACUACUUUAGAAUCUUCCAGAUGGAGGGCAUGGGGGAGCCUACAGCUCUGGUUUGCUCGCUGAGUCUGGACUCAGGGGAUCCUUGCUGAAGUUUGGCAUUCAGGACUAAAGAGAUUUACCUGGAAUCUGCAUCCUGUUGGCCAGAAUUAUUGCUUCUUUCGUUCAUUUGUAUGACUUUUUCACUUGGCAAAUUCAAAACGUAUAAAGCAGUGAAUCCGUCUGUAUUCUUCUUUCAGAUGACUGAUCCUGAAGGCUUAGGGUCCUGCACAGCUUCUGUUCUGUCCUAGACUGUGACUGUCUCACUCAAGGUCUCCUUUCGUCAGCUCACUACACUUGGGCAGAGCCCUGUCAUGCUUGGCCAGAUAAAUAAGAUCUGUAGGUAGAAGGGCUUUGGUCCCUAAAGCCCUCUGCUCCAGUUUCCAUAGAAACAAGCCAAGGGUGAUACCCACCACAAGGGCUCUUAAAGCCACACAUACUGUAUUCUGAGAAUCCCAUCGCGUUACAAAUACCACUCAGCAAUAAUUUUUAUUUAUUAUUAUUAUUUUUUUUUUCAGCAAUAGUUUUUAUUUAUUUAUUUUUUAAUUUUUUUCAACAUUUAUUUAUUUUUGGGACAGAGAGAGACAGAGCAUGAACGGGGGAGGGGCAGAGAGAGAGGGAGACACAGAAUCAGAAACAGGCUCCAGGCUCCGAGCCAUCAGCCCAGAGCCCGACGUGGGGCUCGAACUCCCGGACCGCGAGAUCGUGACCUGGCUGAAGUCAGACGCUUAACCGACUGCGCCACCCAGGCGCCCCUCAGCAAUAGUUUUUAAAGGCAUAAUCUACUUCAUUGCUCUGGAUGGCUUUGACUAAGGCUUUCAAUUCCCUGUUGCAACCCUCCCUCCUUUAAAAUAAUUAUUUUUUGUUGUUGCUUUUAAACUUGAUGGAAAAAAAAAUGACCAAUUCAUGCCAGUUGAGUUAUAGAUCCUGAACAGAUGGUUUAAGAUAAUUUAUUACAUGUUACAUAUUUACAUUUAAUUUAUUAGAUUUAUUCCUAAAGUUUGGGGAGAAAAUUUAGUACCAACUAAAGAGUUAUAAUUAAAAGAGCACAGAGACAGGGUGCCCGGGUGGCUCGGUUGGUUAAGCAUCUGACUCUUGAUCUCAGUUCAGAUCUUGAUCUUAGGGUCUUGAUCUCAGGGUCGUGAGUUCAAGCCCUAUGUUAAAAGAGCACAGAGACAGCAGUCAGAGACCCCAAGCACUGAUCGAAACUUUAGCUCUCUCAGAGAUAACACUUUACUUUGUGACUUUGGGUGAUACCACAAACCUCUCUGGCCAUGAUUUCCAGUUGGUAAAAUCAAAGGACUGGAUCAGCUGAUCUCUAACUUUUUCUAGGUUCAAGAAUUCUUUGAAUUUGUGGUGUUAUAUAGUAGCAGAAGAGAUUCCAUGAAAAAAAUAGAAUGUUGCUGUGUCGACAAUUAUGUCAGAGAGUAAUAAGCACUUUGUAGGAAGGUUGCUACUAACAUCAUAAAGGAAGGAAAAGGGAAGGAGGGAAAAGAAAAAAUACCACUUACCAAACUUCUGCUGUGUGCUAAGAAAUUCAGAGACAUUAUCUCAUGUGAAAACACAUCAUUUCAGAGAUUUCCUCCUUAAGGGACGGAGAUGCCAUUUCCGCUUCUGGCCCCAAAUGUGCAGGAUAGCUAACACUGAGUGAAUGCUUUCCGUGUGCCAGGCACUUUUCCAGGCAUUUCAUGCAUACUUACACAAUUUAUUAUCCCCAUUCACAGAUGAGGAAAUCGAGGCACAGAGAGGUUAGGAAACUUGCCCAAGGUCAUGGUUGGUAAAUGGCAGAGCCAAGCUCCAAAGUCAGAGAGUUGGGCUCUAAAUCUGUGCUCAUAACCAUAUCCCCAUAUUGUCUCUUUUCAUUCAUUCAUUUGAUUCAUUUCAUUCAUUCAUUCAGUUGAUGGACACUGACUAUUGGAAGGUAAUGCCCUAGACUUCGUCUUAUCUACUGGAUGCUACAUAUUAUAGACAAUGGAGUCUACAUUCUAUACGUUAUGUAGGAUAUGAUGAAUAACAUGCCUAUAUUCUAUAUACUUUAUAAGAUGCAUUAAGCUGUAUACACUACUGUCUAUAUACAAUGGGUAAUAGACACGAUUUAUUAUAUGUACCAGCAGUGUUUUGCCAUAAUAGGUAUUUAAUAAAUAUAUGUUGAAUUAAUGAAUACA